ensembl:rRNA 5S_rRNA 5S ribosomal RNA
GUCUGAGGUCAUACUGCCCUGAGCAUGUCCAAUCUCAUCUGAUCUCAGAAACUAAGCAGAGUCAGGCCUGUUAGUACUUUGGGGCUUCCCGGGUGGCGCUAAUGGUCAAGAAC